AUGUGUUUUGUUGAUAGUCAUCUAACCAUGCAUGUAUAUCCCCUUGCUUGAGUAUAUUAAUUUCUUUAUUUUUGCAGGUUGAGGAGAUGCAUAGGUUAUUGGUUAGAUGACCAUCAACAAACAUGUU
rfam:Ananas comosus cultivar MD2 ACMD2_Scaffold_1254, whole genome shotgun sequence.